AUUGAACGCUGGCGGCAUGCCUUACACAUGCAAGUCGAACGGUAACGCGGGGGCAACCCUGGCGACGAGUGGCGAACGGGUGAGUAAUACAUCGGAACAUAUCCAGUAGCGGGGGGAUAACCUAUCGAAAGAUUGGCUAAUACCGCAUACGAUCUACGGAUGAAAGCGGGGGACCGCAAGGCCUCGCACUAUUGGAGUGGCCGAUGUCAGAUUAGCUAGUUGGUGGGGUAAAAGCCUACCAAGGCGACGAUCUGUAGCUGGUCUGAGAGGACGAUCAGCCACACUGGAACUGAGACACGGUCCAGACUCCUACGGGAGGCAGCAGUGGGGAAUUUUUGGACAAUGGGCGCAAGCCUGAUCCAGCCAUGCCGCGUGAGUGAAGAA
rnacentral:rRNA from 1 species